CCCACGUCCUGCUCCGCUCCCCUGUGACCUUCUCACCUGGGCAGCUGCCUGCAGUGUAACCCGCGCAGAUGGCUUUCCUCUGGAUUAUGAGCCUGUUGCUGGGAUUCUGCACAACAGAGGAGGACCGGUGAGUUGACAGUGCAAAGAAGAAUCUGGAAGGAGGGAUGACCGCAAAUAGACACUUUUGUUUCUGUUAUUCUUGGAACGCACUUGAGCACGUGUUGGUGCUGUGGUUUAUGAUUUUCAGAGCACUCUAACUUGCAUUAUCUAGUCUGAUCUUCACAGGAGCUCCGUGGGGUGUACAGGGAAUAUUAUUCCAAAAUUAGGUGGAAACUAAGGUUCAGAGAGCUUAGAUGCCUUUUCCAAGGUAGUGGCAUAGCUCGGUCUCAAACCCAGGUCAGGUCUCCUGGUCUUCUCAGGUACUGGUGGGAAUCCAAGACAUGUUCAACAGACUACUGGAUGUGUGGGUUUGGGUCACAAGAGAGAGACCUUGGCUACAGAUAGAGAUAUGAGCAUCAUCGGUGAAUAUCUUUUUGCUUUUCUGAUAAGAGGGCAUAUAUGCAGCUGCAUCUGGCUUUACCCACUUACCCCUCUCCUACCUUAAAGGCAGAUGUGAUGUCUGGGGCUGCAGCAGCCAUUUUGUUACCAUGAACUGACAGUAAUGUGAAAGCCAACCCACUAAGGAUGGGAGUAUGGAAGUAUAGAAAGUGCCAGAAUUGUUGAGCAAUUGGAACAAUGCUUUCAACUGCUUACAUCUGGAUUUAUCAUUAUGUGAGAAAAACAGGCCCUAUUCGUUUAAGCCACUAUAGUCAGAUUUUCUUUACUUGAUGAUACAUGGGGGGGACAUGAUGUCAAGAGCUGUGGCAUGAGGUGGCCACAUGAGGAAAAAAGCCAACACACUGAGAAAUAUAUAAAGUGCUGAAAGAACAAAGGAGCUGGUUCCUUCUGUCCACCUAUGACCGGAUGUGUGUGAAGUUAGCAAGAAUUGUCCUCAGGUGCUGUGAGAAGCCUCACAGCGGUGAGCUGUCUACUAUUUAAAGGUCAGAUCAUUCCUAACUGUUACACCCUUCUUCACGCUGAGUAGGAUGCUACACUGAUUUACAAACUUCCUUCUGAUGCUCGACUCCACCUGUGUCUGCGGCUGCCGUCCUGGGAACGACUGUGCCACCAGGCCUCGCUGUCACGUCCCCCUGUCCUGCGUCCAGGGUUCCCACCUGCAGCUGGCUGGCAGCCGUGUGCUGAGCUGUGUGGCGAUCUGUGACAGAGCAGGGGAAGUGCCUUCCCCCUUCCGGGACACCGUGGAACGGAGGCCCCGAGCAGAGUUGCUUUGCGCUAAUGUGUCGCACAGUGCAGUGGCAGCUUCUAUUUCUUGUUUCUCUUGGAGCCAUCUGUCUGUUUCUGACCCAGAUAAGUGUUCAGGAGGCUGGGCCGUGGGAGGUGUAGAGAGGCAGCUACAGUGCUGGGCUCGGAAUGCCUUCCUCCAACCACAGGCCAGGCUUUAGCUGCUCUUCUUAGGGUGAGCUCUUUUCUGGGAGCUCCUCAGCUUCCCAGAAGGUAGUCGUCUCCCCUGGGCCACCCCAGCAGCUUGUCAGACUGGCUGGCUUCACGUUCGGCUUGGCUUCUCUCUCAGGAAUAGCCCCUGCCUCUUGGAAAACAGGCUUGAUUCAGACGCUCCCAUCAGUCCGCCACACACGCACUCCUGGGCCAUCAGAGACCCUUGCGGCUGCAGCCCAGGCCCGAUGAGCUUUCCGCUUCACAGGGUAAGAGAAAAGGUCACUUUGGGGACACUCAGCACAAGUUUCAUAUUUCUCCAAAAUUUGGGCCCCCCCUUUCAGCUCCAUUCUCCCGCCCACAGUCAAGCCCGAAUGCAUAAAGCAGCCACGUAUCCAGAACUCCUGCGGCCUCGUGUGCUUAUUGGCAGCACCUGAAUCCCAGAAUAGACAUUUCCCUAUUAAGGAACAGAAACGAUGGAAGGAGAACAAAGCCACCCUUUAUCGGAGCAGAUUGCUUUACCUGAAACAGCCCUCUAACAGACGUGCUCCUGAAGUACCUCUUGAUGAAAUCUGUGAACAUUUGUAGUAUUUUACAUUGCGCUUAAUAAUUUAUUAGUGUUUAAUAUUUCACAGGAGUAAAGCAGAAAACCUGAUAAAAUUUUCAUAUCUGCUAUUAUAAGCUAAGUAGGAUGCGAGCCGCGGCUGGGCGGUACCCAGAGCCCGGAGCCUGGGGUCCGCUCCGUGCGCCCCGAGUGCCCAGGUCACCACAGUAGCCUCUCUGCCCGUUCCCCCAGGGGUCCUGUUACCCUAGACGUCCUGUGCACUUGGGAGAGCCAGAUGCUUGUGGGCGUCGUCAGUUUGGCUGAACAGCCAGACUCGUUCAUGGUGUGGUUUGACUAGAGCCAAAUGUCUCUCCCAGCCCCUAAAUUUUCCUCACUGGUCUAUUUUUCAUGCCAUUACGGAUUCCUUUCCUUGUGAGAGAACCAACACCUAUGGGAAGCUGAGCUUAUAAUUAGUAACAGCAAAUCCAAUUCACGGUUCUAAGCGUUUCAUAGGAACAAUUCGUUAAUUUCUCACCACCCUCCUAUGAGAUAGAAGCUCUUAAUAUUCUCAUUUUACAGAUGAGAAAAUCGAGGCACGGCGAGGGGGUGAUUCACUCAGGGUCGUGCAGGAGUCAGGAGCUGGAAUUUGGGUCCAGGCGGGCUCGCUCCAGAGUCUGUAUUCUUAACUAUUACACUAUAUGUUUUCUCUAAAAACAAACCAAUCAAUAAACAAUUUGUUGCAUCCUUAUCUGGCUCAGGGCUCUGGGCCACACGCGCUCCAGGGGAUAACACAGUGAGACUUCCUGUCCGCGUCUACACGCCCGCCCUCUGAAGCCAGCAGGCACUCUGCUGCUCCACUUGUCUGCUGAGUGACCCCAGGCGAGUAACCCAAUCAUUCUGAUCGUCAAAAAUACCUGCCUCACAGGUUUGCUGUGAACGUGAAAGGAAACAAAUUUGAAGAAAAGUAUCCUAGACCACGUUGGCUGGUGGGCGAAAUCUGCUCUGCUGGGUUUUUUUAAACAGCUUUAUUGAGAUUUACUCAAAGUGCUUAAAAAACCACUUUAAGUGUUUUUCAGUAUAUUCACAGAUAUGUGCAACCAUCAUGACAAUCAAUUUUAGAGCAUUUUCAUCAUAUCAAAAAGAAACCAGCACCCUUGAGCUAUUUCUGUUCCCUGAACGUCUCCCCAUUUCCCCCUCUCUCCCCAAGCGACCACUAUUCUACUUCCUGUCUUGAUAGAUUUCUCUGUUCUGGAUGUUUCAUUCAUAUGAAUGGAAUCAUAUAGUACAUGGUCCUUUGUGUCUGACUUCUUUCACUUACCAUAAUGUUUUCCAGGUUUAUCCAUGCCACAGCGUGUAUCAAACCUCAUUCCUUUUUAUGGCUGAAUAGUAUUCCAUUGCAGGAAUAUACCACAUUUUGUUCAUCUGUUCCUCAGUUGAUGGACAUUUGGGUUGUUUCCACCUUCUGUUUGUGAUGAUGCGGACUGUUUUUGAAAAUAAAAUCGUAUUACAACACAGCCACAUGCAAGGCCUGGACUAGGGGGAAUCACCACUUCAUGACCAUCGCUAGGAGUCCUCCUGGCAUUUCUUCUUUCCUAUGCUUUUCGUUCACAAUCAAAGUAUGUUCUAGAAAUGAUCUGAGUCACUAAAUUCACACCAAGGUAUUAAUGACUCAUAAAACUUUCCCACGUUAACAGACUCGGGAGUGUUUGUCUUACAUGAAGUCUCGAAGAGCAUCUUUCUAAUAUUGGAAUGUACAAAGUGUGAGAAAAAGAGCGUGAGAGCACAGGAGCUGGGGGCGGACCUUGGUCCCGAGAGACACGCUUUCUCUGUGGAAUCACGCCGUGUGGGCACUGUGUGUGCACACAAAUGACCAGGCCUGGACAGGUGCCCACGAAACUAAACAAAAAUGGAACAAAAAUGGGAUGGAGAACUUCUGAAAUUGUUCUAUGACCUCCUACCUCAUGUUUUCAGGGCCUCUACUGAUUUCCUUAAUCUUUGGGUACUUAAUUUCCCUGGAUACUUGUCAUGGACGUUUGUUGUUGUGUUGCCUGUACAAAGGCCCUCCCUACUUGGGAAUAUUCCUGAUCCUGUCUAAGGAAGCUGG
rnacentral:lncRNA from 1 species